AAACCGAUACUUUCGUUCAUGCGGUUCUUGCACGCGUUUCUGCCACCUUGUAGCGUAACACAACGUGAUGAAAACACGCUACCGCGAAUCUACUUCAGAUUCCUCUGCAUCUUCGGUAGACAGUUACGCUUAGCAGAUGAGAAGAGGUUUCGUGAAAGGUGCUUGCCAAAGAAAAGGAAGUGCCACUUUCCUUCGAGAAGAGUGAAAGGGCUGGCAACUGAUAAUAACAAGGUCGUAUUUUAAUUGGCGCGUUCAACCGCGUGGAAAAUGUUAAUUGCCAAUUUGUCGUUGGACAAUCCUCCGGCUGGUCGUUCCUCUUUUGCUAAGGCAAGUUCGACAGAUCUUGAUCAAUCUGCGCUAAGCAACUGGUGACAAGAUCGCGUUUUGUCCGAUGCAUUCUUCCACAUUACAAUCUUACAAAUCGAUUUUCACUACGCCAUGACGUCAGAAGUGAAGCUACGUAUUGUCAUGAACGAGAACGCAAGGGCGGGAGAAAAUAAAAUGCAUAGAAUCCAUAAGAAAACCGGAAGAUGAAGGAUGUUAUGUCUUUCCUCCAAAAUAUCAAGCAAGAGAUCAUCAUCCGCGUUUACUCAGUUUAUCGAUAGUGAAGAAAGCCGCAAACAGCUUAACGAAGGUAGGCCAUUACAGAAACAUUUCAGUCACGAUAGAUGACGCGACAGCAGCGUCAUACAUCGAUACAAGUUUAAACUUCGAGUUUCGAGAUAUUUACUUAGAAGAAUCGGAGAUCAUUCCCACAAGAAAAAUAAACACCGAAACCGAAAAGCCCAAUCUUCAAAUAGAAGCAUUAUUAGAGAUCUUCCGGAAACAAAACAUGCAUGAGAGGUAAGGCACGGACUUUGAAAUAAAACAAUUUGAUGGAACGCAAAGAGCCACAGAUUGGAUAUUAGAGUAAGAAACGGAAUGCCAAAGAUACGAAAUUCAAAACGACGAAAAAAAGGAUCAAGAAUUUGAAGAAAUAUUUGGGAAAAACAGCAUCAGAAUGGUACCAGACAAAUCUGCUGAAUGAUGAAGAAUACAACUGGGAAAAUUGGAAGGCGGUAUUUCUAAAAGCUUUUAGUAAUAAAGGUUGGUCUGCAGUGCAAUACACCUAUAACUUUAAAUAUAUUUCAGGUUCAUUCACCAAAUAUGCCAUAAAACAGGACCGAUUAAUAUUGGAAGUAAGGAGGAAGACCUCCGAUGAGACCAGGACAAAUGUAAUUGUUAGUCGAUUACCCAUACACAUUCAAGAUAAAGUCUAUAAAGAAGCAGUACAAUCAACAGGUGAUCUAAUCAGACUCUUGUUGCAAUACAAAGACCACAGGAAAGGAAGAAAAAGUCAAGAGAGUAAUGCAAGAUUGAACAGAAAGCCAGAGCCGCCACGCAAGAAUCUACCGUGUGUGCUUUGUGAAGCACUGAAUUUCCCAGGCCUAUUCUACCCAAUGCAAGUAUGCAGAAACAGAAACAGAAAUGCACAGAGGAAACAAAACCAGGUAAAUUCAUUAGAAGCAUUCAUUACUUUCAUAAUGUAAUUACAUUACAGAAAGUAAUGAAUGCAAUAACAGCAGAUGAGAAUGGAAAAAACUAAAAUGCCCGGAAAAAUACGAAUCUCUGAUAAAGCUCCGAGUUAAAAUCAACGACCAGAAAGAGGUUGAAGGCUCCAAAAAAUCAUUGACCAAAUAAAGGCAGAUAUAAUAAAAGACAAGAGUAUGUUUAAGACUAUCAGUGGGAAGGACUUCACUAAUAGCUGGGCGAAACUUAGAAUGAAAAUUAAUAAAAUAGGGAAAGAAAUAAAUGUUUAUAUAGUGCAUAAUGAUAACUUCACAUAUGAUCUCAUCUUAGGACUGGACGCCAUAAGAGAGUUCAAGUUGAAAUAAGAUGAGAAUUUGAGAGUUAGUCAAAAAGUAGACAAAAAAGAAGAAAUAAUCAGAGAAGAAAGAUAAACGUUACCAAAUACAAGAAGAUGGACAACCUAGGUCACCUAAAUCACCUAUAAAAAAAAGAGAUGCAAGUGGAGAGGGCUUAGGGGCAGUUUUAAACCAAACCUCGAGGCAACGGGAUAUUACACCCAGCCGCGUACUUUUCAAGAAAAUUGAAACCAACAGAGAUAUUUCACUAUCCUUUCAGAUCAUAAACCAUUGGAAUCAAUGAGAAUCAAGGCAAGAACCUAUGAAACCUUAGGAGACCUGAUGCACUACUUGUCGCAGUACUACUUCAAGAUCAUGCUCCAGGAAAACACAACAUGGAGGCAGACACACUAUCCAUGAACCCCAUCUUAGAAAGCUUUGAGAAUGAGGAAGAUGUUUUCAAAGUAGCAAAUAUUAUAAAAAAACAAGACAUAAUCCAAGACCAAGAAGAAAACAGAGAAGAUAUUAAAAAUACAAAAGACCUUAUAAAAGAUCAGAGAUUUUUUUUGUAAAUAUUAAAGGACGCCAACCUAUAUUCAUUUCACAAGAGUUUGGUGAACAUAAAACAUAAGGAAGGUUCAUGAUUUCUUUGGUCACACUGGAAGAAACCAUAUACUGAAGAAAAUCCGACCCUUUUAUUAUUUCAAAAAGAUGGACCGAAUUGUAGACAAAUUCUGCAAACAUUGCGAAAUCCGCAUCAAGAAUAAAAGAAGAACGAGAAGACCGAUCGGGUUUAUGUCGAAACUAGGACCAAAUAAUGUCACUCGAUACGGUCGGAGAUUUUUCCAAUAACAACUCACCAAAGAAAUAAAUGCACAUACUCAUCGAUCAUAUUUCAAGGGCUGUUUUUACGUUUACAUCGAAAACACAACGCUCAGAAGAUAUCAUAAAACUCAUAGACUCGACAGGGGAAACUGAUUCCAUAAAACCCAGUAAUAACAUCCAAAGAAAUUGAAGAGUAUGCGAGAAAAAGGAACAUUAAAUUUAUUUCACCUAGACAGACUGCCCAUCCUCCAAUGGACUGAACGAAAGGGUAAAUCGAACAUUAGUAAACAGGACCAGAUGUAAGAUCAAUUCAGACAAAAAUAAAAGAAACUGGACAAAGAUCGCAGAAGAAAGCGUAGAAGAAUACAAUAACACCAGACAUAGUUUAACGGGAUUUGCCCUAAAUCAUUUACUGUAUGGAAAAAAGAUCGAAAUCGUCCCUAAGGAAAUAAUGGAAAAUAAGAUAAACUUAAAAAGAGACAGAUAAGAAGCAUUCAAAAAC